CAGACGCAGUCCCAAAUGUUUUCCAUACGCACAGUCCUGUGAAGUCUCCUGCGGACCCUGUGCAGGUGGGGCCCCGCCUGCUCCUUCAGACCAAGGUAACUCAAACCAUAUGCCUGGUGCAGAAUCAAGGCAAGUGUGGCUCCAGCAGAGGCAAGAGUAAACAAAAGAGGGAACUGGAAAUUAGAAGGAAGGUGAUGCACGUGUGGAUGAUUUCAGUCGGCAUCCCAGCGUCUCUGCUGAGUGCAGGGCCAGCUGGUGGAGCACAGGGUGCUCUUAUGCUGGGUCCUUGAGCUCACUUUCUGGAGUACAUAGGGACCCACUGUGGCCUGCUGCAUGUCUGUGACGGGCAGUUCCGCAGUGGGGCCUUAACCAGUGGGUAGGUGGCAGCAGCAGCCAUGCUGAGAAGAGGAUAUCCAAUGCCCCAGCUGGACCUGUGCUCAGUGUGAUGCUGUGAAAGGAGCUCAGACUGGGGAGUCAGAAUGAGUCGUCUUCUUUCCACCUCUGUUCACUGCUUCGCACCGGACACCGGGCAUUGAGCAUUCUCAGAACUCAGCCUCGUCAUCUACAGGACGAGAAGUACGUGAUCACAGCAAAGGGCUUCUGCGAGCGUCGCCUCCACUAUUUACACAGUGCCGAAUCCCACCCCAAGUUGGCAGAGGUUGAUCUUUGGUCCAGCAAGCAUCACUGUGGAGCUCUGUCCCCAGCAUCAUGAUGACCACUUGUGUACCAGCUUCCUCAUCUGAGAAAGCAGGAUCCUCACUAGCAGACAAGGAUACUGUGACUUUAUACCUCCACGAAGUGGAUAGAAAGACCUAUCUUAACUGUAUUUGCUUGAAGUGCAAGUUUCAUAAAAAUAACAGGUAACUACUGUGAAGCAUUUACAAUAUGUAAAUGUCAUUUAAUUAUGUAAAAUAGGCCCUUUGAAGAAGAUAUUAUUUGAGCAAUAAAUGAGCUUCCCAAGAUGA